rnacentral:rRNA from 1 species
GACGAACGCUGGCGGCGUGCCUAAUACAUGCAAGUUGAGCGCUGAAGGUUGGUACUUGUACCAACUGGAUGAGCAGCGAACGGGUGAGUAACGCGUGGGGAAUCUGCCUUUGAGCGGGGGACAACAUUUGGAAACGAAUGCUAAUACCGCAUAAAAACUUUAAACACAAGUUUUAAGUUUGAAAGAUGCAAUUGCAUCACUCAAAGAUGAUCCCGCGUUGUAUUAGCUAGUUGGUGAGGUAAAGGCUCACCAAGGCGAUGAUACAUAGCCGACCGGAGAGGGUGAUCGGCCACAUUGGGUCUGAGACACGGCCCAAACUCCUACGGGAGGCAGCAGUAGGGAAUCUUCGGCAAUGGACGAAAGUCUGACCGAGCAACGCCGCGUGAGUGAAGAAGGUUUUCGGAUCGUAAAACUCUGUUGGUAGAGAAGAACGUUGGUGAGAGUGGAAAGCUCAUCAAGUGACGGUAACUACCCAGAAAGGGACGGCUAACUACGUGCCAGCCGCCGCCGUAA